rnacentral:rRNA from 1 species
UACGAAGGGGGGCUAGCGUUGCUCGGAAUUACUGGGCGUAAAGGGCUCGUAGGUGGCCAACUAAGUCAGACGUGAAAUCCCUCGGCUUAACCGGGGAACUGCGUCUGAUACUGGAUGGCUUGAGUUUGGGAGAGGGAUGCGGAAUUCCAGGUGUAGCGGUGAAAUGCGUAGAUAUCGAGAGGAACACCUGCGGCGAAGGCGGGUUGCUGGGCCGACACUGACGCUGAGGCGCGAAAGCCAGGGGAGCGAACGGG